rnacentral:rRNA from 1 species
CAGUCGCCGCGGUAAUACGAAGGGGGCUAGCGUUGCUCGGAAUCACUGGGCGUAAAGGGUGCGUAGGCGGGUCUUUAAGUCAGGGGUGAAAUCCUGGAGCUCAACUCCAGAACUGCCUUUGAUACUGAAGAUCUUGAGUUCGGGAGAGGUGAGUGGAACUGCGAGUGUAGAGGUGAAAUUCGUAGAUAUUCGCAAGAACACCAGUGGCGAAGGCGGCUCACUGGCCCGAUACUGACGCUGAGGCACGAAAGCGCGGGGGGCAAACAGGAUUAGAUACCCCCGUAGUCCCUGUCUCUUAUAC